rnacentral:lncRNA from 1 species
GCCUGGCUUCCAGCAAAGCCGCUCCCCAGUGGCGCCUUGUGUUAGUGAGUGACCCUGCCCCACCUCAGCCACCAAGCCAAGGCCACCCCAGCUCCCUGCUGUUGUCCCGUCUAUUCCCCGAGCCCUGCAGAUCUCUCUGCCCCUCCAUCGCAGGCCAUUCUCCCUCCCUCUCUGCAGAGACCCCUAUCCCUGGACCCACUGAGGACAGCAGCCCUGUGCAGCCCCAGGACUGUGACUCGCACUGCAAACCUGCCCGUGGCAGCUACCGCAUCAGCCUAAAGAAGUUCUGCAAGAAGGACUAUGGUAGGUGCCCUCAGGCCUCCCGCUGACCUUCCCACCUUCCUCCUCUCCCUACCUUCCCUCCUCCGCCAGCUUCC